ensembl:lncRNA
GAGAGAGAGGGAGAGAGAUGGAGAGAGAGAGACAGAGAGAGAUGGAGAGGGAGAGAGAGAAAGAAAGAUAGAGAGAGACAAGAAAAGAGUCAGAGUGGUAGCAUUCAUAAAAACUAUAUUUUAUCCAGGUCUAUGGAAUGGUAGGAGAACCAGGUCUAUGGGAUGGUAGGUGGUCCAGGUCUAUGGGAUGGUAGGUGGUCCAGGUCUAUGGGAUGGUAGAGAAUUAAUAUAGAACAUUAUCACAGUUGAAAAUGUUCCAAAAUCCUGAUUUUGGAAGACAUCCCAUAAUUCCAUGGCAGCUCUCUGGACAUAUCAUUUAGUUACAGAGCAGUAGAGUAUCACACCAAGGUCCUGGACUUAUCAUUUAGUUACAGAGCAGUAGAGUAUCACACCAAGAUCCCUGGACAUAUCAUUUAGUUACAGAGCAGUAGAGUAUCACACCAAGGUCCCUGGACAUAUCAUUUAGUUACAGAGCAGUAGAGUUUC